UAUGUAACCGAUUUUAAAAGUAGCAUUUUUAAAAUCGGCUUUUCAGUAGCCGAUUUUAAAAGCGUUACUUUUAAAAUCGGCUACUUA
rnacentral:miRNA from 1 species